rnacentral:rRNA from 1 species
UACAGAGGUCUCAAGCGUUGUUCGGAUUCAUUGGGCGUAAAGGGUGCGUAGGCGGCGCGGUAAGUCGGGUGUGAAAUCUCGGAGCUUAACUCCGAAACUGCAUUCGAUACUGCCGUGCUUGAGGACUGGAGAGGAGACUGGAAUUUACGGUGUAGCGGUGAAAUGCGUAGAUAUCGUAAGGAAGACCAGUGGCGAAGGCGGGUCUCUGGACAGUUCCUGACGCUGAGGCACGAAGGCCAGGGGAACAAACGGG